GAAAUGCGAUAAGUAAUGUGAAUUGCAGAAUUCAGUGAAUCAUCGAAUCUUUGAACGCACAUUGCGCCCGCCAGUAUUCUGGCGGGCAUGCCUGUCCGAGCGUCAUUUCAACCAUCAAGCCCCCGGGCUUGUGUUGGGGACCUGCGGCUGCCCGCAGGCCCUGAAAACCAGUGGCGGGCUCGCUGUCACACCGAGCGUAGUAGCAAUCACCUCGCUCAGGGCGUGCUGCGGGUUCCGGCCGUUAAACAGCCUUACAAAACCCAAGGUUGACCUCGGAUCAGGCAGAAAGACCCGCUGCACUCAAGC
rnacentral:misc_RNA from 1 species